ensembl:lncRNA
AUACAUAUUGAUUAAAUAAGAUUAAAACCUCUGAUAGCAGAAACCUUUGAUGGAGGAGGCAAGGAUUUAAAAGGGAAGGGCAAACAGGUAACAUCAGAUUGUAUUGAUUCACAGCCGUUUAUUUCAUUAUUAUGAUUUGUAACUUGCAAGUGUAUUACAUCUUUUUUUUCAAUUUUUUUUUAUUGUGGUCAAAUACACAUAACAUAAAUUUUACCACUUUUAAAUGUACAGUUCAGUGGUAUAAAGUACAUUCCUAUUGUUGUGCAACCAUCACCAACAUCCAUCUCCAGAACUCUUUUCAUCUUGCAAAACUGAAACUCUGUACACAUUAAGCCCUGACUCCUUAUUUCCCCCUUCCCCUGCCCCGGCCACCACCUACAUAUAUUAUUGUCUGUGUAUUAAAUAUAAUAUGAGAAUUUAUUUUGAAAGAAAGAAAUAGACCAGGGUUCAAAUCCCAGCUCUAGGAUUUUCUGACCUCAUGACUUUGGGAGGCCACCUAAUCCCAUCUCCAAAGAAGAAUGAUGAAAGCUCCCUCCCAGGAUGGCUGGAAGGAUUAUAGAUGACCUAGAGAGAGCGUUUAGCAGAAGCCUAGACAUAUAGUCAAUGCUUUUAAAAGGGCAGCAGAUAUUAUAUUAUUAAGUGGUAAUUGAUUAAUUAAGUGUUGGCUAGAGAAUUGGCCCGAGGCCAUGCCCUUUCACAGCGCUUAAAUGGGCAAAGGCUGGGUCGGGUGUGUCUCCAGGAGUAGACAGUGCUAUAGAGGUACUGCCUGCAGGCACCGAGCUCUGGGGGCCAGAACAGACACUAGCAGGGCCGCCUCAGAGGGUCUCCAGCUCAUGUUGGAGGGAAGUUGUCCCUCCUCGGGAAAGUAGGACCAGAGUGAUAUGUAAGAAGAAUCUUGGCGUCCAAAGUGAGCAAGGAGAGCAAAUUGAGACAUGGGGAGUGAGCUGGGGUAGGCUAGCCAGGCCAGGACUGUGGCAGAAAAGGAUACAGAAGCAGUGCUGGGGUCUGUUUAAUAAAAGAGCCAUGUGGUCACCCAUCUGUUAGGAUAAUGAAAUCAUCAAGAUUUUUCAGUGAGCCGCUCUUCUGGUAGGAGAAUUCCCAAAGAGCGGACAGUGUCCUUGGCCUGCCCGCCAUCCCUGCCCUCCCCAGAGAGCACUAAUGCAGAUAGUUCUCACCCAUGCAGUGGCUUCCUGAGCACAUCCUAUGGCUGCAGAGCAUGCUUGACCCCGCCCACCAGGAGCAGGUCCGGAAGUGCAGCAGGAGCAAACUGGAAAUGCACCUGGAACAGAACCAGAAGAUCACUUAAGCAGGCCCAGAAGUGCCAGUCAAUGCCUGCAGGGCAUGAUGAAUAAUUGGGACAUAGAUUGUAUGGCCUGCAAAGCCCCAAAUAUUUGCUAUCUGGUCCUUUAUUAAAGAGUUUUUCACCCUUUGUCUUAACAUGACAAAAGGCAGGGACUGCCAGUCCAUAAUGAAUGGUCACAUCAGUGAAGAUUACCUACAAGUGAAAACCAAACCCUGGAGUCAGAAUCCAGUUCGAGAUCCCCCAGAGAAUCUUGCCAUGCAAACCACAUAGGGCUUCUCAGAGCUUGCCAAACAAUCACCUUUCCUUUUCCAGCUCAGUAAGUUUGGGUUUGGGGUAAGUGAGCCAGGCUUGCUCAGCUGCAAUGCUCCACUCUGGAGAAGGCUGAUCUAGGCAACUGACAUUUCUCUUUAAUUCAAGAUUGAACAAAAAGUCCUUUCUGCAUUGGCCCAAGGGAAAGAUCUUUCUUUUCUUUCCUUCUUUCUUUCUUUUUUUUUGGACUGCACUCAUGGCAUAUGGAGGUUCCCAGGCUAGGGGUUGAAUCAGAGCUGUAGCUGCCAGCCAGCCUACGCCACAGCCACGCAGGAUUCGAGCCUCAUCUGCAACCUACACCGCAGCUCAUAGCAAUGCUGGAUCCUUAAUCCACUGAGUGCGGCCAGGGAUCAAACCUGCAUCCUCAUGGAUACUAGUCAGAUUCGUUUCCACUGCGCCAUGACGGUCAUGCCCAGAAAGAUGGCUCAGUUGUGUGCAAAGCCCAUUUUCCUGAUGGAGACAUCCUCUUGCAGCGGUUGCUGAAGCUCUCUGUUCUCCAGGGACGGCGCUUCCCCACUGGUGGGACAUUAUGUCUCAGAAAGUGAAAGACAAGGAAACUGAAUCUUCCAAACUCAUAACAUCUCCUAAAAGUUGAAAACUUUUUUUCUCUUAAAAAAAAUUUUUUUUCCCUCCCUAAAUAGAAACAUGAUCCCUUCCCUGGAACACAUCCUCUCUUCCUGACCUGCCCCGACUUACCCCUAUGGCUAUGACCUGUAUCUCACACUGUCAGUGACCCAACAAUUGGACUUUGUUGGUUAUCAGGUAAAAAUAUAAACACAUGCAGUAAAACACAAGUUGCAGCCAAGCGUCUAAACCCUCAGUACCCAGAAAAGCUGACUUUUAAAAAUUCCUGGUUUUGGAGUUCCCAUCAUAGCGCAGGGGCAACGAAUCCUACUAGGAACUAUGGGGUUGUGGGUUCGAUCCCUGGCUUCACUCAGUGGGUUAAGGAUCCAGCGUUGCUGUGGCUGUGGUAUAGGCCAGCAAUUACAGCUCUGAUUAGACCCCUAGUCUGGGAACCUCCAUAUGCUGCAGGUGCAGCC